CAGUAGCCGCGGGAAUACGUAGGUGGCAAGCGUUGUCCGGAAUUAUUGGGCGUAAAGGGCUCGCAGGCGGUUUCUUAAGUCUGAUGUGAAAGCCCCCGGCUCAACCGGGGAGGGUAAUUGGAAACUGGGAAACUUGAGUGCAGAAGAGGAGAGUGGAAUUCCACGUGUAGCGGUGAAAUGCGUAGAGAUGUGGAGGAACACCAGUGGCGAAGGCGACUCUCUGGUCUGUAACUGACGCUGAGGAGCGAAAGCGUGGGGAGCGAACAGGAUUAGAUACCCGAGUAGUCCCUGUCUCUUAUAC
rnacentral:rRNA from 1 species